AGCUUCCCAAUUCUUACCAUAGGCUGUGUUCUUUACACUGACUAUAUAGAAAGAGGAGGUAUAGUAAAAUCACCCCAUAUACACCUCAACACAGGCCCUUUGCCUGGUCUGAAAUUGUAAAUUGGGGGACAAAU